CCGAGGAGGCGGGAGCAGUUCAGCGGGACUGUGGCCGGACGACAGGCAGCAGACGAUGACUACGGCAGACGACACCGCACAGCUCUAUGAAAGCAAGAGUGCAGCACGCGAGCAAGAGGAGCAGCAACAGCAGCUCACAGCCUCGCUCAUGGCACAGAUACUUGAUCAAAAGAAAAUGGAGUUGCUGAAGAGUCCUACAAUACGGCAGUUCAUUGAACUCAAGCAGCAGCAGAUGAAGCCAUGACCAGAAAGCGUCGCGGGGGGCGUGUGAGGAGAUCAGAAAAAUGUAAACAUCAAUACUUUUAUUAUUUGUAUUCUUAGUAUACAUAGGUUAGGUAUUAAAGUGUAACUACCAACAUUUUUUGACGGAGAAAUACGAAGGCACAAAAGUUAUUUCUUUGGCACUAGUUUUCCAGCAUUAAUGGUUAAAAUAAAUUUGUAAUUAAGCAUAAGUAAAGCCAACGGCUGCACAGAAGUAAUUAGUCGCAGUUAGGAAGACACAUAUUACAUUAAGAAUUGACUUAUUUAUCUCGCUUAGAUAGAUUCAAAUUUUCAGUCUUCAUUCAAACGGAAUUAUAAAAUAAAUUUUGAACUGCUACACGAAGUGAACAAUUCGACGCCGUCUUACUUCCGGCACUAAACAACUAUUCGUUCGUGGUUAGCUUUAAUAAACUUAAGUGGUAUGGUAAAUAGAUUUCCUUAUGGACAAUUGUUAAUUUACACGCUUGACUGUGGAGGACGGACGACGUGUGAUCUGCUCACGCCAGGUUCUUGUACUUUGAGAAGAGGUUGUACAGCACCCGCAACGUCGACUUCAGGUCCUUGUUCACGAUGUCUGCAAACAAAUUUUCGAUUAAGCCUAUUGGCUUUACUUUUGAAAUAUGGUGCUAGCAUUAGAGAAUAUGCGUUCACCAAAUAUCACGUGUGGUUUUAGACUACCAAGAAGAAACAGCAAAAAACUCGGAGUAUCUCCUAAAAUGUCACAAUUAUAGUUUUGUCAAUAAGAACCUAUGCAAGUGUGGUAUGCUAAUCUUUGCAAAGAGCCAGAGAAUUUUCUACGUGGCUACUCACCCUAUAAAGUUGCCCCCGUUCUGCAAUUUACUGCUUCCAAAAAAGAAGCUAUUGAACAUAAUUCAACUUCACCUAAUUCAGCAUGAUACCAAUUUUAUUAAUGUUGUUCCCAUCAUUAUUUUUACCAGUACACAAUUAUCUAUAAAUGGGCUAUAUUACCCGCAAAAACUAGCGACAAACCUCCGGUUUUGAAGCCACAGGCAUAGUUCAUGCAAGUACGAGACCCGGCAACCUACCUUCCGGUCGCGCAUUGGGUCAUUCCAGCCCCAGCAACCCACCUUCAGGUCUGUCCAGCCCCGAUAGCACAUCUUCAGAUCUGGUCUUGGGUCUAUCCAGCCUUAACACCCACCCACCUUCAGGUCUGGCCUUUGGUCUGUCCAGCCCCGCGUCCAUCAUUAGCUCAAAGGCGGCAUUGACGUUGUGUAGCUUCUCGUCGAAGGUCUGACGAUAAAAGGCGUGUAAUUGAAAAAUUCUCUUAGAAUUUUUAAGAUAUCGGACACAUUUCUAGCGAGCAUCUUACAGCACUUACGUUUUAAGAAAGACGUAAAACAUGUAAAUCUACGAGUUUGCAAUUUGAUUAGCAACAUCUAUAUUGCAGCACUUCCAAGAAAAUAUCAUGGUAUGCACUUACUAAAUAAUAAUGCGUACUACCGGCCAAUUGCGACUAAAUAGUUUUUUGUGUAGCCUCCUAAGAUUACCAAUAUUUUUGGGGCUAUCCCUAUAAGAUAUUUAUUACUAACAACCUGGAUUUUUUAUAACGUAUGUCCUCAAUAUAACUUGUAUUCCAUAUUGUCUGUGGAAACCGGAAUGUUCAUCAUCAAAAUUUUCUUCUUCAUUGAAUAUACAUUGGAAAUUUC